UUAAUAAAAGUUUUGUUCUCUCCCCUAAUGGGAAAACAUUUUCCAUUUUGUCAUGAUAGAACUAAAUUAUUUGGACUAGUUUCUGUAAAGAAAAGAAAGCUCUAUGGGAAUAUGAUAUUAGGUCACCUUGAGUAUGAAUUACAGAUGUAAAAAAAAUGCUAUUAAAACUCUGAAAUGGAAGAAUUAAAGGACAUAGCUGAGAAUUGCACAUUGAAAGAUUUGGAUUGAUAACAACAGAUGUUUUACACGUAGAGUAACCAGACAUUGGAAUUGCUAAGAGAAAGCAGUGACUGAAAAUCCAAUAAUAGGAUUUGGAAUCACAAUGAUAGAUCACAAUGACUGGGUUCUUCAAUCAAACAUAGCAUGACUGGAAUCAUGACAAGGAAUAUAAAUGUGUAGAUUCUUGUAACCAUGCUGUUCUGAGUGGAUUACAUACAUAGUUUGGUUCAGUGAUAUCUAUGGCUAAAAAUAAAGCGGGCAGCAUACUCCAACCAAUUCAGGUUUACUUGACCAUAAUAUGUAUAUAAGAAAUAGGUGGUGAAU